GAUGAACGCUGGCGGCGUGCUUAACACAUGCAAGUCGAACGGAAAGGCUCCUGCUUGCAGGGGUACUCGAGUGGCGAACGGGUGAGUAACACGUGGGUGAUCUGCCCUGCACUUCGGGAUAAGCCUGGGAAACUGGGUCUAAUACCGGAUAGGACGAUGGUUUGGAUGCCAUUGUGGAAAGUUUUUUCGGUGUGGGAUGAGCUCGCGGCCUAUCAGCUUGUUGGUGGGGUAAUGGCCUACCAAGGCGUCGACGGGUAGCCGGCCUGUGAGGGUGUACGGCCACAUUGGGACUGAGAUACGGCCCAGACUCCUACGGGAGGCAGCAGUGGGGAAUAUUGCACAAUGGGCGCAAGCCUGAUGCAGCGACGCCGCGUGGGGGAUGACGGCCUUCGGGUUGUAAACUCCUUUCGCUAGGGACGAAGCGCAAGUGACGGUACCUGGAGAAGAAGCACCGGCUAACUACGU
rnacentral:rRNA from 1 species